UACGGGAGGGGGCUAGCGUUGUUCGGAAUUAUUGGGCGUAAAGAGCUUGUAGGCGGUUUGUCGCGUCUGCUGUGAAAUUUCGGGGCUCAACCCCGAACUUGCAGUGGGUACGGGCAGACUAGAGUGUGGUAGGGGAGACUGGAAUUCCUGGUGUAGCGGUGAAAUGCGCAGAUAUCAGGAGGAACACCGAUGGCGAAGGCAGGUCUCCGUGGCCACUACUGACGCUGAGAAGCGGAAAGCUGGGGAGCGA
rnacentral:rRNA from 1 species